GUCUACGGCCAUACCACCCUGAAUAAACCCAAUCCCAUCUGAUCUUGGAAGCUAAGCAGGGUCAGCCCUGGUUAGUACUAAGAUGGGAGACCACCUAGGAAGAUGAGGUGCUGUAGGUU
rnacentral:rRNA from 1 species